rnacentral:lncRNA from 1 species
UUACGAAUCCAAUAAAAUAUAUAUUUAAAAUUAAUUAUUGACUUUCACUUGCAUUAAAUUUUAGAAUUUAAUUCCUAUCAAACAAGGGGCUACAUUCAACUUAGCUUUCUAAUUAUUGUGUUCAAUACUGCACUUGUGCUAUUGUCUGAUAUUAUUUGUUUUGAUUUUGUUCUUUAAAACCAGGUCCUGGAUGCUCAUAUGUUGCAUCAGAAGAAGUAAGGCCAUUUAGGAUCAACAAGACAACCUCAGGUUUAUACCUCGACAAAUUUUCUUGGAACAAAUUGGCAAACUUAUUGUUCCUCGAAACUCCGGCUGGGGUUGGCUUCUCUUACAACACCACCUCUUCUGAUCUUCUAAACAUCGGGGAUCGGCUUGCUGGUAUGACCAAUAAAUCUCGUUCCUUCAAUAUGUGUAUUUAUGCAUGUUAGUUUUAUCCUCAAACACUUAUACUAUGUUGAGACCCACUACCGAAUUUAGGGAUAGCUCGACUGAGGCUCCCACAUCCGUUGUGUCAUCGAGCCACCCAGUUGGUCGUCGACGUCACUCGUGUGAGUGCUGGCCAGAUUCCCAAACAAUACAGACUCUCUCCGCCUCCCCUAUCCUCCUCUUCAUUUCCUUAAUAACCAUGACUUGGAGUUCUUUUUUUACACCGGUAACUGAUCACAAAUUUCUCGUUGCAUUCAUAACAUAACCCCUUUUCUUUCUUUGUUUGGAUCUCGGCAUCUGUCAACCGGUCGAAAGGGUAAGUGAAUUUUGGUGGAGGAAGUGCACGAUUGGGAAUGCUGUUCAAAGGUACCAUGAGCCUUUGGAAUGGUGUAGAAACUUUGGGUGUCUGGGCAUUAAAACUCAUUCGGGUCUCUUUCAAUAUUGUUGGGCUGGAACUUCUAGGGCAUUGUUAGAUCAUAAGAUCCCUUUCUUCCACACCUUGGGCCAUGUCCAUGAUCUGCUUCCGGCCCACAGGGCUUAAUAGUUGGACCUCAGCCCUGAUUCUGGGAAGAAACCAUUGAUGAAGUUACAUUCCAAAACCUCCUCCGAAAUGUUCUGCAAGGGUGAUGCCAAUAUUUCAAACUGCCGCCGGUAUUCCUUGACGAUGGUGGUUUGUCGUAGCGCUGAAAACUGGGCACACAGAGAGCCCUCUUACAUCGGUCGAAAACGAUGCAGUAUAUGAACCUUCAGCUCCUCCCAGUUUUUCAUGGGCCGCCGGAGUUCCUCCCAUUGAAACCAUGCCAGUGCAUCGCCAUCCAAGCACACGGCCAUGGCAUCCCACUUCUCGUCUUCCAUCAUCCGAUUUACAUUAAAAUAUCGCUCCACCCUGAAUGUCCACCCAUCUGGGUUGCUCCCAUCAAACACCAGCAUGUCCAAUCGUCAGAUGCGCGAUUCUGGUCUCCAUCCACUGUCAAACCCACUUCCACUGUUUUGGCUUCCUUCGGAACUUGUCUGUGCAUCGCUCAAAUUUGAGGGUGAGUUUGGUAGCUGUAGGUUGGUCACUCCCUUUUCCUUUUCUCUCUCGUUCUUGAGCCUCCCAUGAUCUGAACAUCAACUCAAAUUUUCCUUUCAAGUUGGUCUAAAGUUGCUGGAAUUUAGCUCGUAGAGCUUCUAUUCCGGACUGUAGAGCUGAGUGAUUAGCUUCUACUUGUUGCUCCAAUACCCCUAUGCGAUCGGUGAGCGUCAUGGUCGUGCCGGUUGGAUCCAGUGCUCUGAUACGACUUUGAUGGAAGGAGGAGUUGAAAUAUGAUCCUCAGCUGCAAAAUAGAAGCUAGAAACAAGAAGAUAGGAUUGGAGAAAUUUUCUAUAAUGUAUUCAAACCCAAAAUAAACAAGGAACGGAAUACAAAAUGCUCAAUUCUCAAAAAUUACUCCCCCUUUUCUCACAAAUCAUUUUCUGCAUUCUGUUCUUCCCACACCCUUUACAUAUACCCCUCUUCUAACUCACUCUGACAAAAUAGCUAACAACCCAUAACUACAAAGAGUGACCCCAGCUUUAUUCUAGAAGCUACAAAGCAUCAAGAGAUUGGACACCAAAGUGAAUCAGAUACUUGACUGCAAUUAAAGCUUGAAAAAGCGAUUGACAAAGUUUUAGUAGGCAUAGUGUAUGUUCUUCACGUGAAUGUUCACCUAAUUGUAUUAAUAGUUCUAGAACUUAACUUUUUUUUUAA